rnacentral:rRNA from 1 species
AAUAUUGCACAAUGGGCGCAAGCCUGAUGCAGCCAUGCCGCGUGUGUGAAGAAGGCCUUCGGGUUGUAAAGCACUUUCAGUCGUGAGGAAGGUAGUGUAGUUAAUAGCUGCAUUAUUUGACGUUAGCGACAGAAGAAGCACCGGCUAACUCCGUGCCAGCAGCCGCGGUAAUACGGAGGGUGCGAGCGUUAAUCGGAAUUACUGGGCGUAAAGCGCAUGCAGGUGGUUUGUUAAGUCAGAUGUGAAAGCCCGGGGCUCAACCUCGGAAUUGCAUUUGAAACUGGCAGACUAGAGUACUGUAGAGGGGGGUAGAAUUUCAGGUGUAGCGGUGAAAUGCGUAGAGAUCUGAAGGAAUACCGGUGGCGAAGGCGGCCCCCUGGACAGAUACUGACACUCAGAUGCGAAAGCGUGGGGAGCAAACAGGAUUAGAUACCCUGGUAGUCCACGCCGUAAACGAUGUCUACUUGGAGGUUGUGGCCUUGAGCCGUGGCUUUCGGAGCUAACGCGUUAAGUAGACCGCCUGGGGAGUACGGUCGCAAGAUUAAAACUCAAAUGAAUUGACGGGGGCCCGCACAAGCGGUGGAGCAUGUGGUUUAAUUCGAUGCAACGCGAAGAACCUUACCUACUCUUGACAUCCAGAGAACUUUCCAGAGAUGGAUUGGUGCCUUCGGGAACUCUGAGACAGGUGCUGCAUGGCUGUCGUCAGCUCGUGUUGUGAAAUGUUGGGUUAAGUCCCGCAACGAGCGCAACCCUUAUCCUUGUUUGCCAGCGAGUAAUGUCGGGAACUCCAGGGAGACUGCCGGUGAUAAACCGGAGGAAGGUGGGGACGACGUCAAGUCAUCAUGGCCCUUACGAGUAGGGCUACACACGUGCUACAAUGGCGCAUACAGAGGGCAGCCAACUUGCGAAAGUGAGCGAAUCCCAAAAAGUGCGUCGUAGUCCGGAUUGGAGUCUGCAACUCGACUCCAUGAAGUCGGAAUCGCUAGUAAUCGUGGAUCAGAAUGCCACGGUGAAUACGUUCCCGGGCCUUGUACACACCGCCCGUCACACCAUGGGAGUGGGCUGCAAAAGAAGUAGGUAGUUUAACCUUCGGGGGGACGCUUACCACUUUGUGGUUCAUGACUGGGGUGAAGUCGUAACAAGGUAGCGCUAGGGGAACCUGGCGCUGGAUCACCUCCUUAAACGAUGAU